UUUGCAGUUCUUUGUUAAAUAAAGUUUUGUAAAAAAAACAGGUGCACCUGAAAACUAUUUAAGCGGCGAUUAAUUGUCUCGACGACCUUUUCGCCAUCAAGCCGCGAGCAUCACGACGUCUGUGAUGAGAUCGUUUCAGCAUUUUGGGGGUGAAAAAAAGCGCCGCUGCAGUAGGCUGACAGCUUGAUGGUCAUCUUGACACUAAAAUGACGCACGUCUUCAAAUCGCCCCAAAAAUGGUGCUAAACGACAAAAUAACAGCCCCCCCCCCCUUAAAUGUAUAUUAAUAAUUCAAAUCUAUGCGUGCGACUAAUUGUCUCAUUUCUGUCCACAGGCUCACAUCUUGGUCAUCUUGACACUAAAAUGAUGCACGUCUUCAAAUCGCCCCAAAAAUGGCUGACAGCUUGAUGGUCAUCUUGACACUAAAAUGACGCACGUCUUCAAAUCGCCCCAAAAAUGGUGCUUCAUGACAGCCCCCCCCCCCCCCCCUUAAAUGUAUAUUAAUAAUUCAAAUCUAUGCGUGCGACUAAU